GACGAACGCUGGCGGCGUGCUUAACACAUGCAAGUCGAACGGAAAGGCCCUGCUUUUGUGGGGUGCUCGAGUGGCGAACGGGUGAGUAACACGUGAGUAACCUGCCCUUGACUUUGGGAUAACUUCAGGAAACUGGGGCUAAUACCGGAUAGGAGCUCCUGCUGCAUGGUGGGGGUUGGAAAGUUUCGGCGGUUGGGGAUGGACUCGCGGCUUAUCAGCUUGUUGGUGGGGUAGUGGCUUACCAAGGCUUUGACGGGUAGCCGGCCUGAGAGGGUGACCGGCCACAUUGGGACUGAGAUACGGCCCAGACUCCUACGGGAGGCAGCUGUGGGGAAUAUUGCACAAUGGGCGGAAGCCUGAUGCAGCAACGCCGCGUGCGGGAUGACGGCCUUCGGGUUGUAAACCGCUUUCGCCCGUGACGAAGCGUGAGUGACGGUAAUGGGUAAAGAAGCACCGGCUAACUACGUG
rnacentral:rRNA from 1 species